rnacentral:rRNA from 1 species
AGUCGAGCGGAGAUGAGGUGCUUGCACCUUAUCUUAGCGGCGGACGGGUGAGUAAUGCUUAGGAAUCUGCCAUUUAGUGGGGGACAACAUUCCGAAAGGAAUGCUAAUACCGCAUACGUCCUGCGGGAGAAAGCAGGGGAUCUUCGGACCUUGCGCUAAAUGAUGAGCCUAAGUCGGAUUAGCUAGUUGGUGGGGUAAAGGCUUACCAAGGCGACGAUCUGUAGCGGGUCUGAGAGGAUGAUCCGCCACACUGGGACUGAGACACGGCCCAGACUCCUACGGGAGGCAGCAGUGGGGAAUAUUGGACAAUGGGCGGAAGCCUGAUCCAGCCAUGCCGCGUGUGUGAAGAAGGCCUUUUGGUUGUAAAGCACUUUAAGCGAGGAGGAGGCUACUAGUACUAAUACUACUGGAUAGUGGACGUUACUCGCAGAAUAAGCACCGGCUAACUCUGUGCCAGCAGCCGCGGUAAUACAGAGGGUGCGAGCGUUAAUCGGAUUUACUGGGCGUAAAGCGUGCGUAGGCGGCUUUUUAAGUCGGAUGUGAAAUCCCCGAGCUUAACUUGGGAAUUGCAUUCGAUACUGGGAAGCUAGAGUAUGGGAGAGGAUGGUAGAAUUCCAGGUGUAGCGGUGAAAUGCGUAGAGAUCUGGAGGAAUACCGAUGGCGAAGGCAGCCAUCUGGCCUAAUACUGACGCUGAGGUACGAAAGCAUGGGGAGCAAACAGGAUUAGAUACCCUGGUAGUCCAUGCCGUAAACGAUGUCUACUAGCCGUUGAGGCCUUUGAGGCUUUAGUGGCACAGCUAACGCGAUAAGUAGACCGCCUGGGGAGUACGGUCGCAAGACUAAAACUCAAAUGGAUUGACGGGGGCCCGCACAAGCGGUGGAGCAUGUGGUUUAAUUCGAUGCAACGCGAAGAACCUUACCUGGNCCUUGACAUACUANAAACUUUCCAGANAUGGNUUGGUGCCUUCGGGAAUCUAGAUACNGGUGCUGCAUGGCUGUCGUCAGCUC